UUCCCACCAUGGUAUCAAAGACCUGUCAUGUGAAAUUAUGACAGAUGACAAUAUCUGAGGCGU
rnacentral:snoRNA from 1 species